CGCGGGAUGGAGCAGUCUGGUAGCUCGUCGGGCUCAUAACCCGAAGGUCGUUGGUUCAAAUCCAGCUACCGCAA
rnacentral:tRNA from 1 species